rnacentral:rRNA from 1 species
UUGCCUUAGUAGCGGCGAGUGAAGCGGCAAAAGCUCAAAUUUGAAAUCUGGCACCUUCGGUGUCCGAGUUGUAAUUUGAAGAUUGUAACCUUGGGGUUGGCUCUUGUCUAUGUUUCUUGGAACAGGACGUCACAGAGGGUGAGAAUCCCGUGCGAUGAGAUGCCCAAUCCUAUGUAAGGUGCUUUCGAAGAGUCGAGUUGUUUGGGAAUGCAGCUCUAAGUGGGUGGUAAAUUCCAUCUAAAGCUAAAUAUUGGCGAGAGACCGAUAGCGAACAAGUACAGUGAUGGAAAGAUGAAAAGAACUUUGAAAAGAGAGUGAAAAAGUACGUGAAAUUGUUGAAAGGGAAGGGUUUGAGAUCAGACUCGAUAUUUUGUGAGCCUUGCCUUCGUGGCGGGGUGACCCGCAGCUUAUCGGGCCAGCAUCGGUUUGGGCGGUAGGAUAAUGGCGUAGGAAUGUGACUUUGCUUCGGUGAAGUGUUAUAGCCUGCGUUGAUGCUGCCUGCCUAGACCGAGGACUGCGAUUUUAUCAAGGAUGCUGGCAUAAUGAUCCC